rnacentral:rRNA from 1 species
CCUACGGUGGGCAGCAGUGAGGCAUAUUGGUCAAUGGGCGCGCGCCUGAACCAGCCAAGUCGCGUGAGGGAAGACGGUCCUAUGGAUUGUAAACCUCUUUUGUCGGGGAGCAAAAGACGCCACGCGUGGCGUUCCGAGAGUACCCGAAGAAAAAGCAUCGACUAACUCCGUGCCAGCAGCAGCGGUAAUACGGAGGAUGCGAACGUUGUCCGGAUUUAUUGGGUUUAAAGGGUGCGCAGGCGGAAUAUCAAGGCAGCGGUAAAAUUGAGUGGCUCAACCUCUUCGAGCCGUUGAAACUGGUUUUCGUGAGUGAGUGAGAAGUAUGCGGAAUGCGUGGUGUAGCGGUGAAAUGCAUAGAUAUCACGCAGAACUCCGAUUGCGAAGGCAGCAUACCGGCGCUCAACUGACGCUGAUGCACGAAAGUGUGGGUAUCGAACAGGAUUAGAUACCCCUGUAGUC